rnacentral:rRNA from 1 species
GACGAACGCUGGCGGCGUGCCUAAUACAUGCAAGUAGAACGCUGAAGGAGGAGCUUGCUUCUCUGGAUGAGUUGCGAACGGGUGAGUAACGCGUAGGUAACCUGCCUGGUGGCGGGGGAUAACUAUUGGAAACGAUAGCUAAUACCGCAUAAUAGCAGUUGUUGCAUGACAACUGUUUGAAAGGUGCAAUUGCACCACUACCAGAUGGACCUGCGUUGUAUUAGCUAGUUGGUGGGGUAACGGCUCACCAAGGCGACGAUACAUAGCCGACCUGAGAGGGUGAUCGGCCACACUGGGACUGAGACACGGCCCAGACUCCUACGGGAGGCAGCAGUAGGGAAUCUUCGGCAAUGGACGGAAGUCUGACCGAGCAACGCCGCGUGAGUGAAGAAGGUUUUCGGAUCGUAAAGCUCUGUUGUAAGAGAAGAACGAGUGUGAGAGUGGAAAGUUCACACUGUGACGGUAUCUUACCAGAAAGGGACGGCUAACUACGUG